GGUUAAGCGACUAAGCGUACACGGUGGAUGCCCUGGCAGUCAGAGGCGAUGAAGGACGUGCUAAUCUGCGAUAAGCGUCGGUGAGGUGAUAUGAACCGUUAUAACCGGCGAUUUCCGAAUGGGGAAACCCAGUGUGUUUCGACACACUAUCAUUAACUGAAUCCAUAGGUUAAUGAGGCGAACCGGGGGAACUGAAACAUCUAAGUACCCCGAGGAAAAGAAAUCAACCGAGAUUCCCCCAGUAGCGGCGAGCGAACGGGGAGGAGCCCAGAGCCUGAAUCAGUGUGUGUGUUAGUGGAAGCGUCUGGAAAGGCGCGCGAUACAGGGUGACAGCCCCGUACACAAAAAUGCACAUGCUGUGAGCUCGAUGAGUAGGGCGGGACACGUGGUAUCCUGUCUGAAUAUGGGGGGACCAUCCUCCAAGGCUAAAUACUCCUGACUGACCGAUAGUGAACCAGUACCGUGAGGGAAAGGCGAAAAGAACCCCGGCGAGGGGAGUGAAAAAGAACCUGAAACCGUGUACGUACAAGCAGUGGGAGCCUCUUAAUGGGGUGACUGCGUACCUUUUGUAUAAUGGGUCAGCGACUUAUAUUCUGUAGCAAGGUUAACCGAAUAGGGGAGCCGAAGGGAAACCGAGUCUUAACUGGGCGUUAAGUUGCAGGGUAUAGACCCGAAACCCGGUGAUCUAGCCAUGGGCAGGUUGAAGGUUGGGUAACACUAACUGGAGGACCGAACCGACUAAUGUUGAAAAAUUAGCGGAUGACUUGUGGCUGGGGGUGAAAGGCCAAUCAAACCGGGAGAUAGCUGGUUCUCCCCGAAAGCUAUUUAGGUAGCGCCUCGUGAAUUCAUCUCCGGGGGUAGAGCACUGUUUCGGCAAGGGGGUCAUCCCGACUUACCAACCCGAUGCAAACUGCGAAUACCGGAGAAUGUUAUCACGGGAGACACACGGCGGGUGCUAACGUCCGUCGUGAAGAGGGAAACAACCCAGACCGCCAGCUAAGGUCCCAAAGUCAUGGUUAAGUGGGAAACGAUGUGGGAAGGCCCAGACAGCCAGGAUGUUGGCUUAGAAGCAGCCAUCAUUUAAAGAAAGCGUAAUAGCUCACUGGUCGAGUCGGCCUGCGCGGAAGAUGUAACGGGGCUAAACCAUGCACCGAAGCUGCGGCAGCGACACUAUGUGUUGUUGGGUAGGGGAGCGUUCUGUAAGCCUGUGAAGGUGGCCUGUGAGGGUUGCUGGAGGUAUCAGAAGUGCGAAUGCUGACAUAAGUAACGAUAAAGCGGGUGAAAAGCCCGCUCGCCGGAAGACCAAGGGUUCCUGUCCAACGUUAAUCGGGGCAGGGUGAGUCGACCCCUAAGGCGAGGCCGAAAGGCGUAGUCGAUGGGAAACAGGUUAAUAUUCCUGUACUUGGUGUUACUGCGAAGGGGGGACGGAGAAGGCUAUGUUGGCCGGGCGACGGUUGUCCCGGUUUAAGCGUGUAGGCUGGUUUUCCAGGCAAAUCCGGAAAACCAAGGCUGAGGCGUGAUGACGAGGCACUACGGUGCUGAAGCGACAAAUGCCCUGCUUCCAGGAAAAGCCUCUAAGCAUCAGGUAACAUCAAAUCGUACCCCAAACCGACACAGGUGGUCAGGUAGAGAAUACCAAGGCGCUUGAGAGAACUCGGGUGAAGGAACUAGGCAAAAUGGUGCCGUAACUUCGGGAGAAGGCACGCUGAUAUGUAGGUGAAGCGACUUGCUCGUGGAGCUGAAAUCAGUCGAAGAUACCAGCUGGCUGCAACUGUUUAUUAAAAACACAGCACUGUGCAAACACGAAAGUGGACGUAUACGGUGUGACGCCUGCCCGGUGCCGGAAGGUUAAUUGAUGGGGUUAGCGGUAACGCGAAGCUCUUGAUCGAAGCCCCGGUAAACGGCGGCCGUAACUAUAACGGUCCUAAGGUAGCGAAAUUCCUUGUCGGGUAAGUUCCGACCUGCACGAAUGGCGUAAUGAUGGCCAGGCUGUCUCCACCCGAGACUCAGUGAAAUUGAACUCGCUGUGAAGAUGCAGUGUACCCGCGGCAAGACGGAAAGACCCCGUGAACCUUUACUAUAGCUUGACACUGAACAUUGAGCCUUGAUG
rnacentral:rRNA from 1 species